AUCAUUAAAGAGUUGUAAAACUCCCAAACCAUUUGUUUAUCUACCUGUUUCGUUGCUUCGGCAGGCGGCUCCUCACGGGGCCUUCGCCCUCUGGGUGCCUGCCGGAGUAUCCAAAACUCUUGUUAAUUACUGUUUUGUCUGAGUAAACUUUUAAUAAGUUAAAACUUUCAACAACGGAUCUCUUGGUUCUGGCAUCGAUGAAGAACGCAGCGAAAUGCGAUAAGUAAUGUGAAUUGCAGAAUUCAGUGAAUCAUCGAAUCUUUGAACGCACAUUGCGCCCAUUAGUAUUCUAGUGGGCAUGCCUGUUCGAGCGUCAUUUCAACCCUCAAGCACUGCUUGGUGUUGGGGCGUCUGCAGCUCCGGCUGCAGGCCCUGAAAAUCAGUGGCGGGCUCGCUAUAACUCCGAGCGUAGUAAUCUCUCUCGCUUUGGAAGUGUGGCGGUUCCCGGCCGUUAAACCCCCCAAUUUCUGAAUGUUGACCUCGGAUCAGGUAGGAAUACCCGCUGAA
rnacentral:rRNA from 1 species